rnacentral:rRNA from 1 species
AUUGAACGCUGGCGGCAGGCUUAACACAUGCAAGUCGAGCGGGGGAAGGUAGCUUGCUACCUAACCUAGCGGCGGACGGGUGAGUAAUGCUUAGGAAUCUGCCUAUUAGUGGGGGACAACAUUUCGAAAGGGAUGCUAAUACCGCAUACGCCCUAAGGGGGAAAGCAGGGGAUCUUCGGACCUUGCGCUAAUAGAUGAGCCUAAGUCGGAUUAGCUAGUUGGUGGGGUAAAGGCCUACCAAGGCGACGAUCUGUAGCGGGUCUGAGAGGAUGAUCCGCCACACUGGGACUGAGACACGGCCCAGACUCCUACGGGAGGCAGCAGUGGGGAAUAUUGGACAAUGGGGGGAACCCUGAUCCAGCCAUGCCGCGUGUGUGAAGAAGGCCUUUUGGUUGUAAAGCACUUUAAGCGAGGAGGAGGCUACCGAGAUUAAUACUCUUGGAUAGUGGACGUUACUCGCAGAAUAAGCACCGGCUAACUCUGUGCCAGCCGCCGCAGUAA